UCAAAUUUUGAAUCUGGCGGUCCUUGUGGCCGUCCGAGUUGUAAUCUAGAGAAGUGUUUUCCGCGCUGGACCGUGUACAAGUCUCCUGGAAGGGAGCGUCAUAGAGGGUGAGAAUCCCGUCUUUGACACGGACUGCCAGUGCUAUGUGAUGCGCUCUCGACGAGUCGAGUUGUUUGUGAAUGCAGCUCAAAAUGGGUGGUAAAUUCCAUCUAAAGCUAAAUAUUGGCGAGAGACCGAUAGCGAACAAGUACCGUGAGGGAAAGACGAAAAGAACUUUGGAAAGAGAGUUAAACAGUACGUGAAAUUGCUGAAAGGGAAACGCUUGAUGUCAGUCGCGUCCGCCAGGGAUCAACCUAGCUUGAUUGCUUGGUGCAUUUCUUGGUCGGACGGGUCAGCAUCGGUUUCGAUCGGGGUAUAAUGGCGGAGGGAAUGUGGCACCUCUAGGGGUGUG
rnacentral:rRNA from 1 species